GAUGAACGCUGGCGGCGUGCCUAAUACAUGCAAGUCGAGCGAGAUGUUAGCGCAUGAACCUUCGGGGGAUUAUGCUAACGGACAGCGGCGGACGGGUGAGUAACGCGUAGGCAACCUGCCCCUGACAGAGGGAUAGCCAUUGGAAACGAUGAUUAAAACCUCAUGACACCGUAGAAGCACAUGCUUCAUCGGUCAAAGAUUUAUCGGUCAGGGAUGGGCCUGCGUCUGAUUAACUAGUUGGUGAGGUAACGGCUCACCAAGGUGACGAUCAGUAGCCGACCUGAGAGGGUGAUCGGCCGCAUUGGAACUGAGACACGGUCCAAACUUCUACGGAAGGCAGCAGUAGGGAAUCUUGCACAAUGGGCGAAAGCCUGAUGCAGCAACGCCGCGUGAAGGAUGAAGGCCUUCGGGUUGUAAACUUCUGUUCUAAGGGAAGAAACAAAUGACGGUACCUUAGGAGCAAGCCCCGGCUAACUACGUGCCAGCAGCCGCGGUAAUACGUAGGGGGCAAGCGUUAUCCGGAAUUAUUGGGCGUAAAGAGUGCGUAGGUGGUUACCUAAGCGCAAGGUUUAAUUUAGAGGCUCAACCUCUACUUGCCUUGCGAACUGGGCUACUUGAGUGCAGGAGGGGAAAGCGGAAUUCCUAGUGUAGCGGUGAAAUGCGUAGAUAUUAGGAGGAACACCAGCGGCGAAGGCGGCUUUCUGGACUGUAACUGACGCUGAGGCACGAAAGCGUGGGUAGCAAACAGG
rnacentral:rRNA from 1 species